rnacentral:tRNA from 1 species
AGGUGAGUAGCUCAACUGGCUAGAGCAGCGGUCUCCAAAACCGCAGGUUGCGGGUUCGAGUCCUGCCUCACCUG